UACGAAGGGGGCUAGCGUUGCUCGGAAUCACUGGGCGUAAAGCGCACGUAGGCGGAUUGCUAAGUCAGGGGUGAAAUCCUGGAGCUCAACUCCAGAACUGCCUUUGAUACUGGCGAUCUCGAGUCCGGGAGAGGUGAGUGGAACUGCGAGUGUAGAGGUGAAAUUGUAGAUAUUCGCAAGAACACCAGUGGCGAAGGCGGCUCACUGGCCCGGUACUGACGCUGAGGUGCGAAAGCGUGGGGAGCAAACA
rnacentral:rRNA from 1 species